GCGGUGGGCGGGUCCUGAGUCGCGACCCUGGUCCGGACCUGACCUGAAUUGCGACCCCAACCUGGACUGCUCCCCUGACCGCAACCCCUACCCCCGCCCACCAGUAUGGCCCGGCACGUGUUCCUAACGGGGCCCCCAGGUUAGAGCCUCCACCUGGAAAACGUGAAUGCCGAGUUGGGCAGUAUGUGGUCGACCUGACUUCUUUUGAGCAGUUGGCACUACCCGUCUUGAGGAAUGUCACCAAGGAAAACAGAAACCACCUUCUGCCAGAUAUCGUGACGUGCGUGCAGAGCAGCAGGAAGUGAAGACACGUGCAUUCCUGCCUUCCGUGAAGGAGUGCCCAGUUCAAGAGGAGCCUGAUGGAGCCCUGCCUGUCGAGGCUGUAUGCCUAUGGGGUUAUGGAACCUUGUGGGCUUUUCUAGAGAAAACUCAACAGCUGUUUCCCAUAAAAUGUUUAAAAGAUCAAAUUAGCCUUAAUGCUGGAUUGUCUGUACAAGAUUAACUAUCCAUUGUGGCUUAUCUAUGCUUAAAGAUUUCUUGUUUAUUUCCUCUUGCAGUCAUGCACAUGAUUUGGGUAAACUGUGAGAUGAGAAAUGGUUUUCAGAGUAUUAGAUGGAAUUCACCCCCGUUGAAGUUUAUAAAUGUGUUCAGGGGAAGCGGGAGGAAAGAGUUCACUGCCUAAUCAGUUUUGCAUGUCAUGAAAAUUAAAUUCCUCUCCAGGUGCA
rnacentral:lncRNA from 1 species